AUUGAAAGGGAAAACGACAGGACAACAGUGAAGGAAGGAAAAGAGAAAGAGAAAGAGAGUGGUUUACGACACUGUGCUGCUUCUCAGUCGCGCAAUCGCUGAUCCGUCACACAUGCGGGAUUGAAUCUAUGAGAACAGAGCAUAACGACGCGCAGAUUUUGGAAUUGCUUUCUAGGUUUUGAGUUUUGGUUCUGAUCGACCGACGAUGCUGGCGAAUCAUUUUCAAAACGGCAUCGAAACGGCGAGGCUCGUUUGGUCGCGGAUUCCCAACUCGGAAGAAUCACAUCUCCUUGACGACGCCGUUGGCAUCCUCAAGAAGAACGAUGGAAGCGGCGUUGAGAGUCUUGACUAUGAAGUCAUAGAGAACUUUGCUUAUCGUGAAGAGCAGGCGCAAAGAGGGAAGCUGUAUGUGAGUUACUUGCUAGUGGUGAAAUGGUUCUUUGCCUUGCUCAUUGGCCUUUGUACUGGAGUUGCUGCAGUCAUCAUCAAUAUUGCUGUUGAAAAUUUUGCUGGCUGGAAGUUCUCAGUGACAUUUGAUAUAAUUCAGAAAUCAUAUGUCGCUGGCUUUGUUGUAUAUGUCCUGUUCAACUUGGUUUUGGUGUAUUCCUCUGUAUAUAUUAUCACACAAUUUGCACCAGCAGCUGCUGGGUCUGGUAUUCCUGAAAUCAAGGGUUACUUAAAUGGUGUUGAUAUUCAUGGCAUUCUUCUUUUCAGAACUUUGAUUGGAAAGAUAUUUGGAAGCAUUGGUUCAGUGGGUGGAGGUCUUGCUUUGGGUAAAGAAGGUCCUCUUGUCCAUACUGGUGCUUGUAUUGCUUCUUUGCUUGGACAAGGUGGAUCUACAAAGUAUCAUCUAAACUCAAGGUGGUUUCAAGUAUUCAAAAGUGACCGCGAUCGCCGUGAUCUUGUAACCUGUGGGUGUGCAGCUGGAGUUGCUGCUGCAUUUAGAGCUCCAGUUGGUGGUGUAUUGUUUGCACUGGAAGAGGUUACAUCUUGGUGGAGGAGUCAACUCAUGUGGCGUGUCUUCUUCACUUCUGCUAUUGUGGCUGUUGUGGUUCGAACUGCAAUGGGGUGGUGUAAGAGUGGAAAAUGUGGACACUUUGGGUCAGGUGGAUUCAUAAUAUGGGAUAUAUCAGAUGGUCAAGAAGAUUAUUCCUUUGGUGAGCUAUUGCCAAUGGCUAUUAUUGGGGUUAUUGGAGGUCUGCUAGGAGCUUUAUUCAACCAACUUACACUUUAUGUUACUACUUGGCGUCGAAAUCAUCUUCACAAGAAAGGGAACAGGGUCAAGAUUGUUGAAGCAUGCCUUGUAUCACUUUUAACAUCAGUCAUUUCAUUUGGAUUGCCACUUCUAAGAAAAUGUAGUCCUUGUCCUGAAUCUGAUCCUGCAUCUGGUAUUGAAUGUCCGCAACGUCCUGGAAUGUAUGGGAAUUAUGUAAAUUUCUUUUGUAGCAAAGACAAUGAAUACAAUGAUCUUGCAACUAUUUUCUUCAAUACACAGGAUGAUGCCAUAAGGAAUUUGUUCAGUGCAAAAACAAUAAAUGAGUACAGUUCCCAAAGUUUAUUGACCUUUUUGGUUAUGUUUUAUGCUUUAGCAGUCGUGACAUUUGGUACUGCUGUGCCAGCUGGUCAAUUUGUUCCUGGUAUAAUGAUAGGAUCAACAUAUGGACGUCUUGUUGGCAUGUUUGUUGUAAAAUAUUACAGAAAACUCAACAUUGAAGAGGGAACGUAUGCCUUGCUGGGUGCUGCAUCUUUUCUUGGAGGUUCAAUGAGGAUGACAGUGUCUCUCUGUGUUAUUAUGGUUGAAAUCACAAAUAACUUAAAAGUUUUACCUCUUAUUAUGCUUGUUCUUCUUAUAUCGAAGGCUGUUGGUGAUGCUUUUAAUGAGGGUAUCUAUGAAGAGCAGGCUCGAUUGAGGGGGAUUCCAUUACUGGAAUCAAGGCCUAAAUAUGAGAUGCGGAAUAUGACAGCAAAGGAGGCCUGUGGGAGUGGAAGGGUGGUCUCUUUCCCUCGUGUUGUUAAGGUUUCAGAUGUAGUUUCCAUUCUGCAGAGCAACAAACACAAUGGUUUUCCAGUGAUUGAUCACACAAGAAGUGGAGAACCACUUGUUAUUGGAUUAGUGCUUCGGAGUCAUUUAUUGGUAAUUCUGCAGUCAAAGGUUGAUUUCCAGCAUAGUCCUUUGCCGUCUGAUCUCAGGGGUGGGGGCAGGUCCAUUAGACAUGAUUCUGGUGAAUUUGCAAAGCCUGUUUCUAGUAAAGGAAUAUGUAUUGAAGAUAUACAUCUAAGUUCAGAUGACUUGGGAAUGUACAUUGAUCUUGCCCCAUUUUUGAAUCCCUCACCAUAUAUUGUUCCAGAAGAUAUGUCUUUGACAAAGGUAUACAAUCUUUUCCGCCAACUUGGUUUAAGGCAUUUAUUUGUUGUUCCUCGUCCAUCUCGUGUGCUUGGUUUGAUAACCAGAAAAGAUUUGUUGAUUGAGGACACAGAAAAUGUGAAUACGUUAGAGCUUCAGUCAACUAGUGUAAGUGCAUUGCCACGGUGCCUAUAAAACUGAGUACUAUUUUGGUGGGUCUCUGCAAAUUUUGAUCUGAUAUUUAGUGUCAACAAUGUAAUUGCUGUUUGGUCAAGGUUUGCACGUCAAUGCAACUUGUCGAAGUAUCAUAAUUCAGAAACUUAAACCAAUUAUUCUUUUGAAUAAUGCACUAGAGUAUAAAAUAGGAAGGUUAUCCUUGUAUUCAUGGCGUGACAAUCUUUUGUAGUUUCGUACCUGGAAACUGUACUUAAUAAUCUUUAUGAAAGGUGUCAUGACAAUGUGUGCUCAACUCUACUUACAGAAAGGUGUAUGCAUUUGUCAACAUUUUUGUCAAAUUACGUCCUUCCAAAGAAACAUUAUUCAAUGAUUAAAAACUUCUAAUCAAGUGGUUCUCUUUAGUACAGUUUAUGCUUCUUAAUUAGAUCUGCUGAGUUCUUGGAUUGAGCUUAAUAAAUGAACUCGGCAGGAUAAAAGAUGGACAACAAGGAAUUCAGAUGUGGAACGCCCUUUGCUAAAUGGUUUUCUGGUUCAGAAUCAGAUACCUGACUAACACUGCUUGCAACUUACUCCAAGUCCUUUCAGCUUCCAAUUUUCCUUGAAUAUCAUUCUUUAUUAUUUCUUGUAUUAAUGUUCUUUUUUUUUUCGUCAACUUAUAUUAAUGUUCAAAUAGGUUGGAGAAACCAAUAUUUGGGAAUGGGUUGUAGACAGCAUUGCCUAGAAUUUUGUAUAUUAUCAACUAGGGAAAGGGGGAAAAGAAUUCAUUAUAAUGAUAGCUGAAUUAGCAUAUGAUUUAU